GAUGGGGAUGAGAGCGAUGUCUUUGCCCUGGCUGCAACUGUGGCACUCUGGGAGAUCCUCCAGCUGCACUGGUGCCCAGGUGGAGUGAAGAACAAUUUCCCCUGCCUCCUUCUGACUCUGCUCUUCCAAGUUUUCAUCAGCACAGAGAUGUCAGAGGAGGUCGAGACCUUCUGGGGGCGAUGCCGGGAGCAGCGCAGCCUUCCCCCCAACCCCAACAGGUUUGCAGUGCAGACCGUGAAAGCCCUGCUGCGCCAGCUGCUGGAUGAGGACGUGUUGAUGGUGAUCCAUCGCAAGUGUGGCUGGGACACGCUCCUCAUG